rnacentral:rRNA from 1 species
GACGAACGCUGGCGGCGUGCCUAAUACAUGCAAGUUGAGCGAUGAAGCUUGGUGCUUGCCCCAAUUUGAAGAGCAGCGAACGGGUGAGUAACGCGUGGGGAAUCUGCCUUUGAGCGGGGGACAACAUUUGGAAACGAAUGCUAAUACCGCAUAACAACUUUAAACAUAAGUUUUAAGUUUGAAAGAUGCAAUUGCAUCACUCAAAGAUGAUCCCGCGUUGUAUUAGCUAGUUGGUGAGGUAAAGGCUCACCAAGGCGAUGAUACAUAGCCGACCUGAGAGGGUGAUCGGCCAAAUUGGGACGGAGACACGGCCCAAACGCCUACGGGAGGCAGCAGGAGGGAAUCGUCGGCAAUGGACGAAAGUCUGACCGAGCAACGCCGCGUGAGUGAAGAAGGUUGUCGGAUCGUAAAACUCGGUUGGUAGAGAAGAACGUUGGUGAGAGUGGAAAGCUCAUCAAGUGACGGUAACUACCCAGAAAGGGACGGCUAACUACGUG